rnacentral:rRNA from 1 species
UGAGGAAUAUUGGUCAAUGGACGAGAGUCUGAACCAGCCAAGUAGCGUGCAGGAUGACGGCCCUAUGGGUUGUAAACUGCUUUUGUUUGGGAAUAAUCGACAUUACGUGUAAUGUUUUGCAUGUACCAUUCGAAUAAGGACCGGCUAAUUCCGUGCCAGCAGCCGCGGUAAUACGGAAGGUCCAGGCGUUAUCCGGAUUUAUUGGGUUUAAAGGGAGUGUAGGCGGUUGGUUAAGCGUGUUGUGAAAUGUAGAUGCUCAACAUCUGACUUGCAGCGCGAACUGGGUGACUUGAGUACACACAACGUAGGCGGAAUUCAUGGUGUAGCGGUGAAAUGCUUAGAUAUCAUGAAGAACUCCGAUUGCGAAGGCAGCUUACGGGAGUGUUACUGACGCUUAAGCUCGAAGGUGCGAGUAUCGAACAGG